GAUGAUUGAUUAAUUUUUGUGCAUUGCAUUCGCUUAGUCUGUAAUUUUGAAGACCGAAUUAGCCUUCGCUUAGUUGGGUGAUUCGUGUCGGAUUUGGAUUAGAGUAGUGUGUACUUGUCGUUAAUUUGUGAUUGGAAGCAUAGUGAUUGAGUUGAUGACCAACCAUUGUUAUUCUGCAUUUGAUUCUGUUUUGCAUUUCUGUUGCAUCUGUGUUUUAAUUUAGUUUAUCCGCAUUCACAANUUUUUCAAAACCCCCCUUUUUGUGUUAGACUUGACUCUGAACCGCAGUUGGUCCUUGAGAGACGACCUAGGAGUCACUUCCUAGUCUAUACUGCAUUUCUUAUUAUGCAAUCAAAUUUGAUUGGGCGGCGACACCCAUCAGUAUAGUGUGGUUACUCCUACAUGGUUG
rnacentral:lncRNA from 1 species